GUCCACGCCCUAAACGAUGUCUACUUGCUGUUGGGGGUAAAACUUUAGUAGCGAAGCUAACGCGAGAAGUAGACCGCCUGGGGAGUACGGUCGCAAGAUUAAAACUCAAAGGAAUUGACGGGGACCCGCACAAGCGGUGGAUGAUGUGGAUUAAUUCGAUGCAACGCGAAAAACCUUACCUGCUCUUGACAUGCCAGGAAGAUCUAAGAGAUUAGAUUGUGCCUUCGGGAACCUGGGCACAGGUGCUGCAUGGCUGUCGU
rnacentral:rRNA from 1 species